AAUAUUGGUCAAUGGAGGCAACUCUGAACCAGCCAAGUCGCGUGAAGUCUGACUGCACUACGGGUUGUAAACUUCUUUUUUAAGGGAAUAAAGUGAGCCACGUGAGGCUUUUUGCAUGUACCUUACUAAUAAGGAUUGGCUAACUCCUUGCUAGCAUCCGCGGUAAUACGGAGGAUCCCAGCGUUAUCCGGAUUUAUUGGGUUUAAAGGGUGCGCAGGCGGAAUAUUAAAUCGGCGGUGAAAGUUUGCAGCUUAACUGUAAAAUUGCCGUUGAUACUGGUAUUCUUGAGUGUAUAUGAAUUAGGCGGAAUUUGUAGUGUAGCGGUGAAAUGCAUAGAUAUUACAAGGAACUCCGAUUGCGAAGGCAGCUUACUAAAAUACAACUGACGCUUAGGCACGAAGGCGUGGGGAUCAAACA
rnacentral:rRNA from 1 species